UACAGAGGGUGCGAGCGUUAAUCGGAAUUACUGGGCGUAAAGCGCGCGUAGGCGGCUUUGCAAGUCGGGUGUGAAAUCCCCAGGCUUAACCUGGGAACUGCAUUCGAGACUGCAUUGCUAGAGUAUGGGAGAGGGAAGUGGAAUUUCCGGUGUAGCGGUGAAAUGCGUAGAUAUCGGAAGGAACAUCAGUGGCGAAGGCGGCUCACUGGCCCGGUACUGACGCUGAGGUGCGAAAGCGUGGGGAGCAAACAGG
rnacentral:rRNA from 1 species